AAGCAAGACACAGGUGGACCGAGGCUCAUGUGCCUGGCUACUCCUUGCUCUUUUGGUGCUCAAAAGGAGAUUACCAGGCCGCCGCUCGCGAGCGACCACAUAUCCUUCCUUGCAGUGUUGAGCAGGAGGUUUGCAGGCCACCGCUGGCCUCUGCCUCUCCAUCCUCCCUGAGGUUGGACUAGAGUUCUGCGGGCACGGCUCACAUCGUUACUCCUCCGCCUCUUUGUCCUCCUCGACGCUUAACAGGAGGGGCACAUGCUACCUCCAAACAUCAUCAGAAGGUGAUGCCUCAGUCGCUGGCAUAUAGAAGAACAAGAUUCACAUAAGGUUUAUCUGAACAAGGAAUAGUACUCUGGAAGAUCUAUCAAGAUGUUACUUGUUCUUGCUCGCACUCAUUUCUCAUGUUAUUAUUCUGGCCUAGCCUGACCAAACUUUUCUACACAUUAACAUAUAGUGAGGGUGAGUAAUUCAGGGAAUGCUUAUUUUAAUUUUCUUAUUAUUUUCAGAGAUACCAUACAAUAACCAUUUGUAUACAAAACCUGUGGUGGCACAUGUUUUGGUCGUUUACUAUUUCUAGGCAUCACGUACUACUAAUCUUGGUCUGUAUUUUUGUUGAGGCAAAGGAGGUGAGAGCUCUGAAAUAAAUCUGUUACUUAUGUUAAGUUUCCCA